GACGAACGCUGGCGGCGUGCUUAACACAUGCAAGUCGAACGGAAAGGCCUGGCUUAUGUGGGGUGCUCGAGUGGCGAACGGGUGAGUAACACGUGAGUAACCUACAAUCGCUUUUGGGAUAACCUCAGGAAACUGGGGCUAAUACCGGAAAGGAGCUCCUGCUGAAUGGGGGGGGUCGGAUGGUUUCGGCGGUUGGGGAUGGAAUCGCGCCUUAUCAGGCUGUUGGUGGGGUAGUGGCUUACCAAGGCAUUGACGGGUAGCCGGCCUGAGAGGGUGGCCGGCGACAUUGGGACUGUGAUACGGCCCAGACUCCUACGGGAAGCGGCGGUGGGGGAUAUUUCACAAAGGGCGGGACCCUGAUGCGGCGACGCCGCGCGCGGGAUGAGAACCUUCUGGGUGUAUACCGCUUUCUCCUUUGACGAAAAGUGAGUGACGGUAAUGGGUGAAGAAGCACCGGCUAACUACGUG
rnacentral:rRNA from 1 species